CCCGACCAAUCAGAGGCCAUCUUCAACCGAUCGGGAACAGUCUCCAAUUGGUUAGAGGUGGUCUCUGACUGGCCAAGGG